rnacentral:rRNA from 1 species
AUGAGAGAGGGUGACCGGAAGGAGCGUGACGACCUGCAGACAAAGGGCGGUGGCGGCGCCGCUCGAUUUGAUCUGCGGGAUAGAGAAGAUGAGAGGGAGAGAGAGAAGGAAGAACAUGAGAGGAGGGAGAAAGAGAUAGGAAAGAGGAGAGGGGGUCGACGGCCAACAGGAGAGGACCACCGGAAGGAGUGCCGCCGGCUCGUCGUCUUCCACCGCCGGCGUCGGCCUGCACCGGCGAGGUCGGGCGGGACCUUGCUUCCAGGGAGGCUUGACCACAGUCUAGAGAACAGUAAAAAUGGAGGAUUUGGGGGCUGCUCAGUUUUGGAGUAG